AGUUCGAUCAUGGCUCAGAUUGGAACGCUGGCGGGAUGCUUUAUACAUGCAAGUCGAACUACAGCACGGACUUCGGUCCAGGAAGAGUGGCUAAACGGGUGAGUAAUGCAUCGAACGCUCUAGUAGCGGGGAUGACCCACGCGAAAGCUGCAGAUGAUUACCGCAGCACAGCCUUCGGGAGGCGGGGACCUUCGGGCCUGCAUCGCUGUAGGAGCGGCCGAUAUCGGAUUAGCUAGUUGCGGCAUCGGCUCACCAUGCGGACAUCCGUAGUUGGUUUGAGAGGACGACCAGCCACACUGGGACUGAGACACGGCCUGACUGCAUGGGAGGCAGUGGGGAAUUCUUGGACAAUGGGGAAAAACUCCCGAUCCAGCCAUCCGCGUGUGCGAUGAAGGCCUUCGGGCUGAAAAGCACUUUUGGGCAGGAAAGAAACGCACGGAUAAUACCCUGUGUGCAACUGACGGUACCUGGCAGAAUAAGCACCGGCUAACUACGCCAGCAGCCGCGGUAAUACGUAGGGAAAAGCGUUAAUCGGAAUUACUGGGCGUAAAGCGUGCGGCAGGCGUCUGGAAAAGAAAGAUGCAGAAAUCCCAGAGCUUAACUUUGGAACUGCAUUUUUAACUACCGAGCUAGAGUGUGUCAGAGGGAGGUGAAUUCCGCGUGUAGCAAGCGGAAAUGCGUAGAUAUGCGAGGAACACCGAUGGCGAAGGCAGCCUCCUGGGAUAACACCGACGCCUAUGCACGAAAGCGGACAAACAGGACGGAUACUCCUGCAGUCCACGCCCUAAACGAUGUCAACUGGCUGGGUUGGGGCCUUCGGGCCUUGGUAGCGCAGCCAACGGGCAGGAAGUUGACCGCCUGUAUACGGUCGCAAGAUUAAACUCAAAGGAAUUGAUGGGACCCGCACAAGCGGUGGAUGAUGUGGAUUAAUUCGAUGCAACGCGAAAAACCUUACCUACCCUUGACAUGUCUGGAAUCCCGAAGAGAUUUGGGAGUGCUCGCAAGAGAACCGGAACACAGGAUGCUGGGCAUGGCUGUCGUCAGCUCGUGUCGUGAGAUGUUGGGUUAAGUCUCCGCAACGAGCGUAAACUCCUUGUCAUUAGUUGCUACGAAAGGCACUCUAAUGAGACUGCCGGUGACAAACCGGAGGAAGGUGGGGAUGACGUCAAGUCCUCAUGGCCCUUAUGUGGUGAGGCUUCACACGUCAUACAAUGGUCGGGACAGAGGGUCGCCAACCCGCGAGGAGCCAAUCCAGAAACCCGAUCGUAGUCCGGAUCGCAGUUCCGCAACUCGACUGCGUGAAGUCGGAAUCGCUAGUAAUCGCGGAUCAGCAUGUCGCGGUGAAUACGUUCCCGGGUCUUGUACACACCGCCCGUCACACCAUGGGAGUGGAAGCCUACUUGUAGUGCACAUAGCCUUAACCGUAAGGAGGGCGAUUACCACGGUAGGAUUCAUGACUGGGGUGAAGUCGUAACAAGGUAA
rnacentral:rRNA from 1 species